rnacentral:rRNA from 1 species
UACGGAGGGGGCAAGCGUUGUUCGGAUUUACUGGGCGUAAAGGGUGUGUAGGCGGCUGGAUAAGUCUGGCGUGAAAUCUUCACCGCUCAACGGGAAGGGGUCGCUGGAAACUGUUCAGCUUGAGUGUGGUAGAGGCAAACGGAAUUCCUGGUGUAGCGGUGGAAUAUGUAGAUAUCAGGAAGAACACCGGUGGCGAAGGCGGUUUGCUGGGCCAUCACUGACGCUGAGACACGAAAGCGUGGGGAGCAAACGGG